rnacentral:rRNA from 1 species
CCUACGGGUGGCAGCAGUGAGGAAUAUUGGUCAAUGGGUGUAAGCCUGAACCAGCCAAGUCGCGUGAGGGAUGAAGGUUCUAUGGAUCGUAAACCUCUUUUAUAAGGGAGUAAAGUGUGAGACGUGUCCUGUUUUGUAUGUACCUUAUGAAUAAGGAUCGGCUAACUCCGUGCCAGCAGCCGCGGUAAUACGGAGGAUCCGAGCGUUAUCCGGAUUUAUUGGGUUUAAAGGGUGCGUAGGCGGCCUUUUAAGUCAGCGGUGAAAGUCUGUGGCUCAACCAUAGAAUUGCCGUUGAAACUGGGAGGCUAGAGUAUGUUUGAGGAAGGCGGAAUGCGUGGUGUAGCGGUGAAAUGCGUAGAUAUCACGAAGAACCCGGAUGGCGAAGGCAGCCUGCUAAGCCAUGACUGACGCUGAUGCACGAAAGCGUGGGGAUCAAACAGGAUUAGAUACCCUAGUAGUC